UGGACAAGAAAUGCUUCCUUAGUUGAAACCUACUUUCCACCUUCAACAUCCGAAUAUAAGUUUUCAAGAUUUAUCAAUUUGAUGAAAUUGGGGUGAAUUUGCAGCAGGGAUUUCACCUUCAACAUCCGAAUAUAGGAUCCUCACUUGAGGACGGCGGUGUGGGGGUUGCCUGAGCUGGUGAAUCGACCGUCGGAAAGGAUCGCAUCCGUCGGGCUCGAGCCGAUCGCGGCGAGCGUGACUGUUGAAAUGGCGAGUGCGGCGAUUGGUCCGAUCGGGAGGCGGAGGAGAAUCCAAAUCCGCCCCGACACCGAAAGGAUCCGAAUUCCGACCGAAUCGAGACCUCCGGCUGUAGAACAGCUCCGAUGCGCUCGUCAUACAAACUCCAAUUACCAAAAUGGGCGGUUCCUGCUACCAAAAAUCGGUCCCUGCAAUUGUGGAUUUAUAUAUGUAAAAUAGAAACGAAAAAAGACGAAAACAAAAUUCGAAUUCUACCUGUUUCGAAGAAAUUACUGAAAUCUCUGAGCGUGUAGUGUGGGAUUGAAGAUGGAGGAAUAGCGGAAAAUGGUAAUAAUUGUGUGAAGAAAAUGAAAUAAAUCUGCUCUUCUAUUUUUUGAACACAGAUUUCCUUCUCUUUUAUCCGUUACUAAUUAUUAAUUAAUUUUGUCAUCAAAAUAUUCUAUCUGUUUAAGAAAAUUACAUAAAUGUAUUUAUUAUUUAUUAUUAUUGGUUAACAUUUGGAGAAAAUUUACUCAAUUAUAAACAUUUGGAGAAAAUUUGUUCAGAAAAAUAAAACAAAGGAAGAAGAUGAAGAAGAGAGGAGAGACGAUAGAGAAGAGAUGAUGAUGGUCUGGGCUUUUUUUUUUU
rnacentral:lncRNA from 1 species